UACAGAGGUCCCAAGCGUUGUUCGGAUUCACUGGGCGUAAAGGGUGCGCAGGUGGUCGGAUAAGUCUGACGUGAAAUCCCGCAGCUUAACUGCGGAAUGGCAUUGGAUACUAUUCGGCUAGAGGGUUGGAGGGGGGACUGGAAUUCUCGGUGUAGCAGUGAAAUGCGUAGAUAUCGAGAGGAACACCAGUGGCGAAGGCGAGUCCCUGGACAACUCCUGACGCUGAGGCACGAAAGCUAGGGGAGCAAACAGG
rnacentral:rRNA from 1 species